CAGUGUUGGGUCCCAUUUGCAUAAGCAGCCCCUCCUUGUGAGCUCUGCGGACCAGGAUAAGACAGGCCCAGGGCAGCUCAGCCCCAGCUCUGUGGUCUAGGAAGGGGCUGUGUCACCAUGGCCUGGACCCAUGCUCUCCUCGUGCUCCUCUGCCACUGCACAGGUUCUCUGUCCCAGCCUGUCGUGACUCAGCCAGCCUCCCUCUCUGCAUCUCUGGGAGCCACAGCCAGACUCACCUGCACCCUCAGCAGGGACGUGAGCGUUGGUAGUAAAAGCAUAUACUGGUACCAACAGAAGCCAGGGAGCCCUCCUCGGUAUUUCCUGUACUACUACUCAGACUCCAGCAAUGAGCUGGGACCCGGGGUCCCCAGUCGAGUGUCUGGGUCCAAAGAUGCCUCGGCCAAUGCAGGGCUUCUGCUCAUCUCUGGGCUGCAGCCUGAGGACGAGGCUGACUAUUACUGUGCUAUAGCACAUGGCAGUGGAAGCAGCUACCGUUACUCACAGUGACUCAGAUAACGAGGA